rnacentral:rRNA from 1 species
CAUGUCGGCAGUAGCGCUGUGUUCCCAACUGACCCCAUGCCGAACUCAGAAGUGAAACGCCGUAGCGCCGAUGGUAGUGUGGGGUCUCCCCAUGCGAGAGUAGGGAACUGCCAGAC